CCUACGGGGGGCAGCAGUCGAGAAUCAUUCACAAUGGGGGAAACCCUGAUGGUGCGACGCCGCGUGGGGGAAUGAAGGUCUUCGGAUUGUAAACCCCUGUCAUGUGGGAGCAAAUUAAAAAGAUAGUACCACAAGAGGAAGAGACGGCUAACUCUGUGCCAGCAGCCGCGGUAAUACAGAGGUCUCAAGCGUUGUUCGGAAGCACUGGGCGUAAAGCGUGCGUAGGCUGUUUCGUAAGUCGUGUGUGAAAGGCGCGGGCUCAACCCGCGGACGGCACAUGAUACUGCGAGACUAGAGUAAUGGAGGGGGAACCGGAAUUCUCGGUGUAGCAGUGAAAUGCGUAGAUAUCGAGAGGAACACUCGUGGCGAAGGCGGGUUACUGGACAUUAACUGACGCUGAGGCACGAAGGCCAGGGGAGCGAAAGGGAUUAGAUACCCUUGUAGUC
rnacentral:rRNA from 1 species